GGGCAAAUAGUGUAGUUGGUUAUCGCGCCCGCUUCGCAAGUUAAGUACCUUACUUGAGCAUGCGGGAGGUGCUGGGUUCAAUUCCCAGUUUGUCCA